rnacentral:rRNA from 1 species
AUUGAACGCUAGCGGGAUGCCUUACACAUGCAAGUCGAACGGAGUGGCGAACGGGCGAGUAAUGUAUCGGAACGUGCCCAGUAGCGGGGGAUAACUACCCGAAAGCGUAGCUAAUUCAGCAUACUAUUCAAGCGGCCGGUCCCGGAUUAGCUAGUUGGUGGGGUAACGGCGCACCAAGGCGACGAUCCGUAGCUGGUUUGAGAGGACGACCAGCCACACUGGAACUGAGACACGGCCCAGACUCCUACGGGAGGCAGCAGUGGGGAAUUUUGCACAAUGGGGGAAAGCCUGAUCCAGCCAUCCCGCGUGUGCGAAGAAGGCCUUCGGGUUGUAAAGCACUUUUGGCAGGAAAGCGGUACCUGCAGAAGAAGCACCGGCUAACUCCGUGCCAGCAGCCGCGGUAAUAC